AGAAUCAACGCUGGCGGCGUGCCUAACACAUGCAAGUCGCACGAGAAAGGGACUUCGGUCCUGAGUAAAGUGGCGCACGGGUGAGUAACACGUGAAUCAUCUGCCUUCGAGUGGGGAAUAACCUAGAGAAAUCUGGGCUAAUACCGCAUAACACUUACGAGUCAAAGCAGCAAUGCGCUUGAAGAGGAGUUCGCGGCAGAUUAGUUAGUUGGUGGGGUAAUGGCCUACCAAGACGAUGAUCUGUA
rnacentral:rRNA from 1 species